rnacentral:lncRNA from 1 species
AGUAAUUCCUACUUUAUCAGGAUGUGGGGAUAAUUUAAUAACUUUUAGAGUGCUUACAUCAGUGACUACACAUAGGAUAGCAGUGUCAGCUAUCAUUGCUAUCAUUGGAGCCUGCGGAGGGUUUGUUAUCUGUUCAGGAUUUGGAAAAUAGAAGAGUGAGAACCUCAGAUCCCAUCAUGUUAGAGGAUGUGUGGACUUCCUUGUGCUUUCACAACAAACUGCCAUUUCCAAGAAGAUGGGAAGAGGAGCUACGGAGAGAGUGUCUUGAUCUACAGAAGUUUAUUGAUUAUGACACGGACAACAGGCUCCCUCCGAGAGAGUUCCCGUCUUCAGCCAGCGUUCUGUGGAGGACCGGCAGUACUGAGCCAAUAGUCGUUCGAAACCCUGUGUGUUUUACUUUAUUUCCUCUUCGUCUCCAGCUGAUGCUUCCUUGCACUCAACGCCGCGCCGAGGGCACAGCCGGGUCCCCAGAGGGCCUGGGGCGGGCCCGGGGACGCGCGCGGGGACCUGCGGGCGGACCGGCUUCUGUGACCGUGCCGCCGAGGGCCGGAAGGGGGCGCUGCGGGGUCCACCGCUGGGCGGGACCCGGAAGGAUGUCGAGGGCCUUAAGCCUCGGCAGGGGCCGAGGAUGGAAGCGCGGGGUCGGAUGCUAA